UUAAAUGUGAAGAUGGACAUAAGUAAUUAAGUGUAUUCUACAGAGAGACGAUGGUUGGUGAAAAUCGUUCAAAAAACUUAAUGAAAUACAGUCCUGAACUGUAAGCUGAAUUUUUAGUAGGCUGAGCCGCUAACUCACGUUAAGAGUAAGAGAUGAUUAAUAUUUUAUUUAUCUGAAAGUAGGGUGGUACCACGACUAAGUUCGUCCCUUGG
rnacentral:ncRNA from 1 species